GGUCAAGAUAGAAAGGGCUGACGGUGGAAACCUUGGCACACAGAGGCGAAGAAGGACGUGGCGACCGACGAAAAGCUCCGGGGAGCGGGAAGCAAGCAAUGAGCCGGAGGUAUCCGAAUGGGGCAACCCAGAAACACAAUGUUGAAUCCAUAGACAUUGAUGAGCGAACCGGGCGAACUGAAACAUCUUAGUAGCCCGAGGAAAAGAAAGCAAAAGCGAUUUCCCGAGUAGUGGUGAGCGAAAGGGAAACAGCCUAAACCAACAGGUAAACCUGUUGGGGUAGUGGGACAGCAGAACUGGACUUAGAGAAUUAGACAAAGCAGAUGAAACCUGCACCAGAGAAGGUGAAAGUCCUGUAGUCGAAAAUUCAAAGAGCCAAGCUGAAUCCCGAGUAGCACGGAGCCCGUGAAAGUCCGUGUGAAUCCGCCUCGACCACGAGGUAAGGCUAAAUACUCCUGUGUGACCGAUAGAGAAACAGUACCGUGAGGGAAAGGUGAAAA
rnacentral:rRNA from 1 species